rnacentral:lncRNA from 1 species
AGCACAUAGCACUGGCUGGUUAUAAAGGACUUGUCUAGGGGAGAGCCUGUAGGUACUCCAUUGUCUGGUAAAGUUCAUAUGACUGCAUUCUUUUUGCAAGGGGGGUGGAGGGAGAGCGGGGAAGGAGGGGGUGUCAGCUCAACUGUAAAAGCUGCACAGAUUUUUUUUCUUUCUCUCUCUCUGCCUCUCCAUAGAUUGUUUCUGUUUCAUGCCCUGUCUCAUUUCGCAUAGCUAAAAAAGAAUGCUAAUUAAGAUCCCUUGUCUUAACCUGAAAAAUAAUGACUCGGCUGUAAUUAGAAAUCUGGUGAGAGUUUAAAAAUUCUGGUAGGGGACCAAAAACAUCAGUUACGGUGCUUAGGAAGAAAAUGAAGAAUUAUUUUUCUGAAAUCAAGAUGGAUCUGAGAACGCUGUCUGGGCUUGGUACCAAGAGCUGGUAUUUCACAGCAGCGACCGCCUCACAGACGAGCUGUGGGAAGCAGGAGGGAGACUCUCUCUUAGGGUGCCACUACUAUGGAGACACAGCUGGGCUGAACAAGAUUUGCUUCAAACGACAACAAGAGAGACAGAAAGUAUCUGGUUCAACCGCUGCCCGAGCAGGCAGGCACCAGAAGAGCUAGCAGCCAAUCCGGCCAUGCUCGAAGCCAGCUCUGCAGCUCAGCCAAUCAGUGACAUCAUUGCUUUCUUUAGCUUGCCCAUGGUGAUGUGAAGAUGAGAAGAAAUAGCAAGGCCCAACCAGUUCUUCAUCUGGAGACAGUUCAACGUUCUGCAAACCAGAUCUUCAGGAAUUUUACUGGGAUAAUUAUCCAAAUAAAUUGCAAGCAUUCUAUCCAAAUGGAGCUCUUUCUGAGAUGAAGAGAAUUCUCAAUGUCAAGAUUUGAACAAGAAGAGAAUGGAAUACACAAUAUGGACAUCCAUAAAAAUUCAUCAGAGAGCAUUUUACUACUGAGCUGCAAAGGGAAAAACUUAAAAUGGAUAUGAAAAGUGAAGAAAGUGAUCAUAGGAGAAAACCAUUUCAGGUGUCUGAUGAUUUGUGAGCCUCAAGUGACUACUCUGUGGAAUCAUCUGUCCUUGCCUUUGAAUUAGCUUUCCCUAGGCCAUGAGUCAACAUUAGUAGUUUAUACAUCCAAAUUGGUAGGUCUUUAUGAAAUUCUUCUAUGUAUUCGUUCUAGACAUAUAAGUGAAGUAUAAGAAAUUAUAGAUUUACAUUGUGGUUGUUUUUACAGCUUCUGGACAUCUUUGAGAAAAUACUUGGGUGGCAUUGAAACACUAGCCAAUGGAAGCAUUUGAUUUUGUAGAAUUUUGAAAUGUAGUGCCUUACUCAUAGUACACUUCCUAGUCUUGGGGGUGGGAAGACCAGUCUGUAGCUAACUUAUUACUGUCUUAUACAUCAUGCUAAAGCCCAGCCUGGGCAUUUGUAAACCUCGGGGAGGUUUCUACUUUAGACAACAGUUUUUGUUGAGGGAUUACACCACAGUCAGUUCCCUCCAUUUCUCCCUCUCUUCCUGGCCCCCCUCCCACCCAACAUGGAGCCUUUUCAACUCUUCAAAGAAGUGGGAAAAAAAAGUAGACUCUUUAUUAAUGGCAGAAAACAAACUGGCUGCUGUACUUCCGAGGCAGCUCUCUAAUAAUAAAGCAGAGUAGGCACUGCAACAAAGAAUUCUUGAAUGUACUAAAUAUAUAGGGAAGCCUAUUUAAAUUCACCAGAGGGGCUUAGAGGACAAGCAGCAGAAAGUUUAGAAUUCAAUUCAAGCCAUGCCAGAAAAUGAAAAUGUACUUAAAAAAGGAUUUCUGAAACAAUUGUUCAAAGAAAUGUCAACUUUUAAGGUUCUUU